rnacentral:rRNA from 1 species
GACGAACGCUGGCGGCGUGCUUAACACAUGCAAGUCGAGCGGUAAGGCCUUUCGGGGUACACGAGCGGCGAACGCGUGAGUAACACGUGGGUGAUCUGCCCUGCACUUCGGGAUAAGCCUGGGAAACUGGGUCUAAUACCGGAUAUGACCUCCUAUCGCAUGGUGGGUGGUGGAAAGAUUUAUCGGUGCAGGAUGGGCCCGCGGCCUAUCAGCUUGUUGGUGGGGUAAUGGCCUACCAAGGCGACGACGGGUAGCCGACCUGAGAGGGUGACCGGCCACACUGGGACUGAGACACGGCCCAGACUCCUACGGGAGGCAGAAGUGGGGAAUAUUGCACAAUGGGCGAAAGCCUGAUGCAGCGACGCCGCGUGAGGGAUGACGGCCUUCGGGUUGUAAACCUCUUUCAGCAGGGACGAAGCGCAAGUGACGGUACCUGCAGAAGAAGCACCGGCUAACUACGUG